CUUACCUUGAUUCGUGAUAAUUAUAAACAACUCUCUGAUAUACAUCCAAAUCAAUAAGGGCCCUUGGUGUUCAGUUCAUCAUAUGGUAAUCUAAUGGAUUCUAUGGCAUACUACUGGAUUGCACCUGCAGUAUAAGGCCUGGAAGGAGCAAGUGGCUCCACAGAGGGAGCAGAAAUCAGAUCACAGACGACUACCUUGACCACUACCUCUAAUCAAGCUUUGCUUUGUGGCAAGCUGUUUAGUUACCAUCUGGUUUAAGGAAGAAGGAGAAGGAGAAGAAAAUCUUUUGAGUUCCAGGUUAAAUUGAGAGCGUGCUACUAUAGAUGCUGCUCCUGGAAGACUUAUGAGAGGGACGGUAAGAGUGAGGCUGGCUGGACUGAGAGAGACAGGAGGCGUUUCUUCCCAUGAGCAUCCUUUGAUACAGAUUGUAAUGUUAUGAAAUAUGUUUUUAUGCUGGUUUCAACUCAGAGAUAUAUUUGUAUUACUAGUAUUGGUAUUCUUGCUACUUUUUAUUGAAUGCAGUAAAGAGGUAAUUUGAGAGGCAAUUUGGCCUUUCUAGAUCACUAGGUUACAGUUUGCAUUAUAUCCUUAUCCAUUAUUUAAUUUGAUAGUCUUGCGUUAUAAGUUGUUGAAAAAUAAAUGCUAAUUUACCCUU